rnacentral:lncRNA from 1 species
CUGACUCGGUGCCAUGCGGGAGGCCACGCUGGCAAUUUGCGUGCCCGCGAUCGGACGACCCGGAUGCGUUCCCAUGCACGUGGACGGUCCAGAUCCGUUCCUUCCUUAAGUGUGAUCGGACGGUCGCGAUUAAAUGCGAUAAACGAUUCAGAUUUAUUUCUUCUUUAAAUGUGAUCGGACGCUUGAGAUAAAAUGCGAUGAACGAACCAGAUUUAAGAAAGAUGAGUAUAAAUAUCUCGCAUCACACCGAACCAAAGCAU